ensembl:snRNA U4 U4 spliceosomal RNA
AGCUUUGUGCAGUGGCAGUAUCGUGGGCACUGAGGUUUAUCCGAGGUGCGAUUAUUGCUAAUUGAAACAAAAGUUUUAUUCUUUUAAAACAAAAUUCAUAUCACAUGUUUGAUUUGUUUUCUUUUUAGUACCAGCUGUGGGGCU